rnacentral:tRNA from 5 species
UGUCUCAUGGUGUAAUGGUAGCACAACAGGUUUUGGUUCUGUUUGUCCAAGUUCGAAUCUUGGUGAGACAA